UUAUUGUUGAACUGUCCACAGAUGGAUAUCACAGACAAGAGAUGGGGACAGUGUCUUACCGUUGCAAGCGAAUCCAUCCGGCCCCAGCUCAUAGCCUUGGUCACAGCGACAGAGGAAGGUGCCAUAUGUGUUGUAACACCUCUGGGAGCACGGAGCGCCCAUGUCACACUCGUUCACAUCUGAAAGGAGUUGGAAGCCGGGUUCACACUGACAAGCGAAAGAGCCGGGAACGUUGACACAACGAUGUUGGCAGUAUCUGUACCUGCACUCGUCGAUGUCUGAGAGAAAAGAGAGCGUGAAAAUGAGUUACUGACCUAACCUCUGUGGCUGUGACCCACUUCAGCACACGGCAUUGUGAGGAUGUCAAAGAACAUGGCCCAUCAUCUGGCUUUGGACGACCACUGAGACACAGGUUCACUGGAACACCACUGCACUAAUGCUGCUGCUGCUCUGACACCUGUUCACAUUACUGGUAAUGGUAAAUGGUAAAAAAUGGUAACUGGUUAAUUAAAUUAAAUUACUAGGGAGAAACAAAAGGUCAGUGAAGUGAUUUGUUGAUUGAUUGAGUGAGUGGUUGAGAAAUGAAUACACUGAUCUCUCAUGACAUUUAAACCAGUAACUGGUUUAACUGUUGUGGAAUAUCUUUAUUCUAUCUUUGGAAUAUAUUUAUUUCUGAGCUAUUCAAGCCAUAGAGAUAUGAGAAAACCCAACUCAUUAUUGAUGGGUUAGAAUUAACUCUAUCUAUCUCAUUUACUUCUAUUAAUAUUUUUUAAAAAUCAUCCAUAAUAGUUAAAUGUACGUACUGUGUUUGGUUUAAGGAUACUGGAAUGGAACUGUCUCCAUCUCCUGAGAUUGCGCAAACCAAGCUAGUAAUCAAGAUAUCAAUAAAUAAUUGAUAUUUAUAAUAAUAAAUAAUGACAAUUGCUGUUAUUUGUAGCAGAUGUAGGUCAUAGCUUAAAAAAAACAUCUGUUUUAUGCUCCAUUCACAUUUCAGCUCAUGAUAAAUUAAUUAUAAUCUAAUAUAAUUACUAUUUGGCGCUUGCCCUUGACAUUCUUUCUGAAUUUACACAGUCGGCAUAUUUUACAAAGCCAAAUGUCAGGCAGCUUUUAAAAGUGACCACGUGGGGACCAGAAAAAACACGUAGUUGGACCACACACACAAAAUAACACACAGUAUAAACUACAGGAGGGUCAUGUCUUAGUCGUGUAUAUGUAGCUCGAGUUGUGUUGUUCUCCGUGGUGCGUGGAGCAGUUUGAGAACAUGGUGGCCCAGCGAGCUCCAGCUGUGCUCUGUUACCAUUGUGGCAGCAGUGAACCUGCAAAUCCACAAUCAGGGUGUCUGCAUCCACACAAAGCCCAACUCCUGUUCUGAGAAUCCCCAUACUUCUCCCCCACCCACCUCCCUGAGCAGUUCCUUUCCCCAGAGGCCAUGCUGCUGCUGCUGCUGCUGCUGCUGCUGCUGCUGCUGCUGCUGCUGCUGCUGCUGCUGCUGCUGCUGCUGCUGCUGCUGCUGCUGCUGCUGCUGUCUCCCUCUGUAAAGACUAUUAGAGGACUGUGAUGUGUCAGUAUAUGCAGACACUGUGGCACUUGAUGAUGGGCUGCUCUUUAGGAGGCUGUUUUCUUCCCUCCCGCUGCAUUCAUAAUUCCACUUAAUUGUGAUGGUGGAGGUGUCAUGUGUUAGUUAUUAGGAGUUUACUGCACAAACAGUGAUUACAGUUGUAGUGAGACAACAUCCUCCACUGCCUGUCAGGUUUAAACAUUGCUUCUUUGUGUAAUGCUGGCACCUGUUCCUCUUGUUCAAUAGAAGCUGUUUAAUCAGAAAGUUGACUCAAAACUUCUUCCACAUUUUCUUACAGUCAUUCCCCCCCCCCUCCGUGUAUCAAGCGAAACCGGGACACUGACGUGAACAGUUGAACAAGAGGGAUAAGUCUCUAAAACGCAGAGCCAAGAAGCAAACAGACUGGGCCACAUUAUCUUGGCUCUUGUGAGGAACCAAGUGUAGCUGGGAGAGCGUAGCAGAAAGCAGAGCUGUGGUGCGGCUGUGACGUGUAUGGCCUGUAGCAGAAAAGUGAGUUAGAGGUGCAUGUCACCUCGGUUACUUGGAGGAAAGUUUCACAAAAAUGAUUCGUCUCUCACCAUUUCUCUGUUUGGCACAAAUCUCCUCUCACAUCAGCGCAAGACAUUAGAGAAACACAUGGAAACUCACAGAUGAAUCUUUUCCGGCAGCUCCUCCUGUCUCUCAGUCUCCCUCUGACCAGUACGUCCUGCUGCAGCCUGCGGUCGACCCGGUGUGGUUGGCGUCCAGAACUGGUCCCUUAAACUCUUGUCUGUGUGACCCUGAGAGAGUGAGUGGGGAGACGGACAGCUGGAGCAGCUGAACACAUGAACAGGGAGGGAGAGAGAGAGCAAGAGAGAAGGAGAGCGAGAGGGAGGGACAGCCCAUUCUUACCCCCCCUCUGGCCCCCUGCACUGCCAUCCUCCACUCUCCAAACCCCCUCUCCCUGACCCCCCAGGAUGCAAAUUCCUGGUCUGCGGCCCAAAUUCCAAAAUUCCAAAUCCGUCCAAAUCGCAGGCGGAACAACAACUCACAGAUUCACACACACACAUGCCCCCCCAUCGUCUUACCCAAUGCCCCUCUCACUGGUCCCACAACACACCUGGUUUCAUUUAAACCAAAUCCCCGCAAAAGCCCCAAGCUCUCCCACCCUUUCCUUCAUUUUUUCCCAUUUACCCCCCAUCUAUCUAUACUUACCUCCCCCAUCUUUGUCUUAUUUUCAUCUCUAUAAAGCAACUGAAGCCCUCACUCUCGCUCAAUCUGACAUGCAGAAUAUUUAUAUCUGGUCAGAGAGCAGUUAAUGGAAUGCAGACAAAAAAAUUAGAACGUGCAGAAGAGAGUGUGUGGAGACCGAGUUGGAAAAUGUGUCAGCUUAUUUAGCAGAAUAAACUGACGGUGCUGACUGCUGCUCACUCUGUGUUUGUACAGGACUAAACCAUUACUGCACUUGGAAUCAUUUCCGGUCUUCUUCUUUUUUUAUAAUUCUUGCAAAAUUUGCAGUGUCAUGUUGUAAUGUUGAGAUGUUGCCUAACCCAUAUUAGUCAUACAAGUCAGAGUCUGACUUGACUUAAGGUCAAACUGCAAGGCUUCCCUUCAACUAAUUCAAAAUGAAAUUAGCAGCAUCCACAUCAUUAUAAUGAUUUUCCAAGAAAGAUAUCGUCCAUUGCAAAAUGAUUUCCUGUCCAUCCAUUUCACAAUAACUAAUGACGUAUCCUAGAGUGAGUAAACCUCCAGUGUGUCAGUUUAAAAACCUUUACUUAACCUUCGAUUGUUUAUCUGUCCUUUAGUUGUGGGUGGUGACAGAGAUGGCAGCUGUCAUUACAGGAGACGUUGUUAAAAGUCACAUUGACGACCCCCUAGUUGGACCAACUGUGCCCCCCUGUAGACUGGACCCUUAUGCCCACGGCCACACACAAACCUCCCACAGACUGGGAGAGCUCUUCAUGACACAUUAAAACUGCUGGUCAUAUUUAAAAUCCAAAACACUAACAGAGCGUCUUCUCUGCAUACUGGCAGCAGACUGCUGACAAAAUCUUUCAUCUUCACACAUGUGAUUUAUCGCCUCCUCUGACUCUUUACAUCUUUAAUCUCCAUCCAGCACUCACAACAUCCGUAAAUCCUGUCUCUGGAAUGGGUUAAUGGCAACAUCUCCUUCAUAUAAACACAGCAAAUAAAAUGAUGAUACAAAACAGGAUGUCGUUUUAAUUGAUAACAUAAAACGGGAUAACGUUUUGAUGUAAAUGCGUGAAUUUUAUUAAACAAAUUAGAUUUACAGACCCUCGUGGGACACCCGAGGAGCAUAUGGGGGGGUUCAAAAGUAACAAUGGAGCUCUAGAAAAAGAAAUCAUCAGUAAAAAAAGAGAAAUCGCACACUGAAGGGCUAAGAUGAAAGACCAGUGGGGGGGGGACAAACCAGAGGAGUUGCAGGCAACAAAUAUGUUUCAGUCGUGAUACAUUUUGAAGAUACAGCUUUUGACGACGCCCAUGUAUCUGUCCCACACAACCUGGUGUCUGAGGGGCAGAAAACAGACAGAAGGAGAACAAAAGUCAGUCAGAGUUAUUCCAAGUCCCAUGACACACUGUAAUUGUGAAAUCUGGACGAAGAGGGUAAAUGAGGCAAUCUUUGUCCACUCGGUGUAAUGUGUAAUGAGGGGGGUCUGCAUCUCUUUUUAUGAAUAUCUCUUUGUUGAGCACGUAGUGGUGCAGAGCUGUGUAAACCCUUAACUACAUUCCUGAGCGUUUGCAUGAGAAACAAGGUAACUACAGUUUAAGGAAUCAGGGGCACGAUAGGGAGACACCCACUGCUAAAAUAUGCAAGUCAGUAUUAGAGACGAUUUUAAAACACUAACUUUAUGUUUGAGUAAUGUUUAAUGACUGCCAAAGUGUAUGUCAUUCAGUUCCUGGCUACUUACCCCAAACUCUCUACACAACCAUGACUGUAUUUUUAGCUUUGGUUGCCCCCCACACCCGCCCUGGGGGAACUGGUUUACCUUGGCAGCGUUGGUGCCAUGCUCUGCCUGAUAAGUUGUACAGAAUAAAAGCACAUUGACUCACUUGAAUGUGUCAAGUAUGUGUGCCGAGUUUGUGUAGUGAGUGAGGUAGAGUCUCAUAUCCGCAGCUGUCCAUCGGUCUGAACGGCAUGGCUCAAUAAACUGGAGGAGAGAAGGAGGGGAGGAGACGUUACAUCACACUGUCUCAAAGGCAGAUUCUAAGGUUGGCACAGGACUCAGAGAAUUUGGAGCUGUUUUGCUUACAACACAAACUACAGGAUUCUGAAAACGCACAAACCUUCUCCACGAGAUCAAUGAAGAAAUCUCUGACGUCUUUUGUGUUGGUUAACUUGGCAGCGAUGUUGACAAGGCCUCUGGAAAGAUUCUACAAAACAGAAUUAAAUAUAUAUAUAUGUAUAUAUAUAUAUAUAUAUGAAAUAGUUGGCUCGUUUGACUGUGCAAGUUAAUGAACACUUAUUUGCAGGACAUAAUGACCGAGUGAACGUUUAUACCUUGAAAUUAGCCUCCAUCUCAUUAAAAGCUUUAGUCUUUCCUCUGAGAGCUGUACAGACCAGACUGAAGAGAAAACAAAAAUAAAUAGAAAUGAAAGAGUGUGGUUCGCAAACACGUACCUUUUUUUUUUUCAAUCAUCAGCAUACGUAUGUGGAUGUUUGUGCUUGUUACCUUUUGUGUUGAUCCAGCAGAUCUUUGUCUGUGAUUAAAACCUUUAGUUCCUUCA